UUGUCAAAGAACAACUGGGAGAGUUUUUCAUCUAAAUAGAACUGAUCAUCAUUCAUAAUGGAAAAUACACUCACAUGGACUGUAUUUGUGUUUAUACUUCACAUACAUGGAGUUUGGUGUGAGAUCAAACUGGACCAGUCAUCCUCUGAGGUGAAAAGACCUGGAGACACAGUGCAGAUGUCAUGUGUCAUUUCUGGUUAUAGCAUGACGAGCAACAACAUCCACUGGAUACGACAGAGGCCGGGACAAGCUCUGGAAUGGAUUGGGAGAAUGGACACAGGCAAUAAUUCUCCUCUCUAUGGCAGCUCUUUCCAAAGACGUUUCACCAUGACUGAAAAUGUUCCCAGCAGCACUCAGUACCUGGAAAUCACCAGUCUGACAACAGACGAUUCUGCUGUUUACUUCUGUGUCAACACAGUGACUGAAGACAGUGGAGCAGCUGAAUAA